CCUACGGGAGGCAGCAGUGGGGAAUAUUGCACAAUGGGGGAAACCCUGAUGCAGCGACGCCGCGUGAGUGAAGAAGUAUUUCGGUAUGUAAAGCUCUAUCAGCAGGGAAGAAGAAAGACGGUACCUGACUAAGAAGCCCCGGCUAACUACGUGCCAGCAGCCGCGGUAAUACGUAGGGGGCAAGCGUUAUCCGGAUUUACUGGGUGUAAAGGGAGCGUAGACGGGUGUGCAAGUCUGAGGUGAAAGCUCAGGGCUCAACCCUGGGACUGCAUUGGAAACUGUGGAGCGUGAGUGCUGGAGAGGUAGGUGGAAUUCCUGGUGUAGCGGUGAAAUGCGUAGAUAUUAGGAGGAACACCAGUGGCGAAGGCGGCUUACUGGACAGUAACUGACGUUGAGGCUCGAAAGCGUGGGGAGCAAACAGGAUUAGAUACCCCUGUAGUC
rnacentral:rRNA from 1 species